GAUAAGCGGGUAUAGAUAAUGGAUGGAUGGAUGGAUAAUAAUAAUAAUAAUAAUAAAAAUUAUUAUUAUUAUUAUUAUUAUUAUUAUUAUUAUUAUAAGGAUUUAGUAAUUCUUGUGUGCCUAAAACCCAGACAUCUAUAUUAUCCAAGCACUCACAUGAUUUUCAAAUAUGGAAUGAGAAAUACAAUCAAAUAUCCUCUGUUCCUCCCCCAUCCCUCUAUUUUGCUGCCCAGGUACCCAUCCCCCUCUCACUGGGUCUCAUCUGAUUAUACAGUCAGCAUUCCCUGAAUGAGAGAUGCUAUCUUGUGACUAAGAUUGAGAAAUGUGUGUAUUUGCUGAGAGUCAGCCAACUAUCUAUAUAAAACUGCUUCUGUUUAGUGCUGGUAGUGAGGGAUCAUGAAUUGCAUUAUGGGUGAAGCUGGACCAAUCAUUGACUCAGAUGCAGUUCUCAAAAGUCAUGGUAAGUAACAUAUGACCUCACUCUGCUAUCUCUAUCUAUCAAUCUAAUAAGCUGUGUUUGCUUCUCAGGUCACACAAAGCUUUGGACAUGUAUGUAUAGUAACUGGCCAAACAAUAAUUAAUGUUUAAGCAACAUCUGCAUGGAUAUAGUGUAAUAACAGCAUAGACCAUAUUCUUCUGUUUGUUUCAUAUUUAGGACCAGACUAUUUCGUAUAUUAACAUUUUUACAUUAAUUGUUUUCCAUUUAGAGGUGAUCUUACACUAAAGCUUCUAUCUCCAUACAUUUUGCCAUGCUUCUAAUAUUUUGUUUAACUUGGACAAUUAUUUUAUUGCCAAAUAUUUACUGAAACUAAACCCUCUAGUCAACCAGUCUGAGACAGCUACUUCAACUUGGACAAGAGGAGCCAAGCUAAACAAUCCUUCCCAUAUGUUUCAGAAACAUAGAGUUCUCUGUCAGAUCUUCCAUUUUUGUAUACAGUGGCUACUUUGUCUCUUCUUGAAUACAUUUCAAAAAGAGUUGUGGGUGGCAUUCCUCCAAAGCCUCGUUUGUAAAAAUCCUUCUGUUCUCAAUUAUUCUGAAAUAACUUCAAAUGUACAGUAGGAGCAACCCAAACCCCCAAGACCAUGCAAACAGUUGCCCUGCCAUGGCAAAUAUCAAUCCCUUGAAUGUUGCUGGCAUUGAGGGCCAAAUACCAGGAUUGGAAUUUGACAGAACUUCAUUUUUUUAAUUUAAAUUAAUUAAUUAAUUUUUGAACAAGCUCCUUUCCAUAGAUUUCUUGCAUUGGGACCGAUCCAAAAUGAAAAGAGAAAAAAGUUUUACAUUUUAACCUGGUUUUUUUAAGUGUCUCAAUUGCUUCAAUCCAAUCAUUCAUAAUGACUUUACUGCAGGCCAGUGGACCAUAGAUGUCUCCAUUUGAACUUGAUCAUAUUUUAUUAUUAUUAUAUAUAUUUUUUAAAUGUUUACUUUCACUGAGCUAUUUCUAAAUUAAAAGCUAUCUACCUUGCAAAAUCAAGCUACAGAACAAACAAGGCUACUUACCUAUUCAGCAAUCUGACAUUAACUAAAAUAAUGCACCAUGAAAUUAGCAACAGCCUAGCUGUGUGUCUAUGAUCAGCUGACGGUAGCUUGUUCAACACAUUCAUGAAAGAUCUGUCAUGAAAACAGAAAGAUAACAAGGAAAGUUGUUUUUUUGUAUGUGCUCCAUUCACAUUGAGCAGGCAGGUUAAAACUAAAAAAAAUUUCCAAGGGCUUUUGGUAAUAAUGUUCAUAUUAAAAAAAUGUCCCAAGUCUUGAUGAAUUCACUCACAGCUAAUUAAUAAUAUUGUCGUUCCUUUAUUAUUCUCUCCGGCUAUGUAUGUGCAGCACGAUAUGUUGCUCCAACAUAUCGUGUACAUAUCUGUACAUCUUAUUUCUUAUUUCUAAUAACAUGACAUAUUUACAUCAUGUGCCUGAGAUGAAGCACAGCAGCUAAUUUCUACAGCAGGUAAUCUCCUUCUUAUUUCCCCUGGGUGAUUCAUUUCAAAUCCUAGUGAAGUUAAUUUGCCUCAGUUUCACCUGGAAUGAAAUGACAAUGACACAAAGCAUGUCUUCAUUCAAAUUAUAUUUAUUUUUGCUGUUUCUAGUAAUGUACUGUACAUCUAAGCGCAUUAAACCACUUCUUUCUCAGUUCAUUGUGUAGUUUUAUGUUACUCCUCAUACAAAUUCAUUCAUAAGAUUUCUACCUUACACUGUACAUAUGAACUGGUACAUGACAAGCUUAUUUACUACAAGGUCAUGUUCUUCAAUAGCAAAAAGAAUCUUUUUUUAUGGACUAGUGGCAAUAACAUGUAGUUUCCAAUGCACAUAAUCACAGUGUUAAGGCUUCUGUGUUACCAUGUAAACAGGCUAUACUAUUCAUGCCGAGCGACUUACACAACAUUUACAUAGCAUUUACUUUGCAUCCAUUUAUACAGCUGGAUACUCAAGCAAUGCAGGUUAUGUACAUUGCUCAAGGGUACAACGGCAGUGUCCUACCUGGGAAUUGAACCUGUGACCUUUAGUUUAUAAGACCAGCUCCUUGCCCAUUAUACUACACUGCCCAUGUGUAAAUAUGGUAUUUUCAUAAAAUAUACUCACUCCUUUAAAUCUUAAUAAAACCGUAUUGUCUUAAAAAAAAAUGAAUACUCCGUAUAGCACAAACUACCUGAAAGUAUGGCACAAAAACUGUAACAUUUUCUCUUCACUGGAUAUCGAUGUACUUCCCUAGCUUGCACCAUGUUUUAGAAUCCCGAGACAGAAAUGGGUCUAAAAAGCCUGCUCUGAACUCUCAGUCAUCUCUUCUGUUAUGUGUAUGUAAAUAACAGGAUGAAAUUAAAUCUGAUUGUGAUUGUUCCAGACAGUCUCAAUCUGCACAGGAGUGAUACUGCUGUGUGUGGUGGGUGUUUAUAUGCAUAUAUGUACUCACCAAAAAGAGAGAAAAAAAGCAUCCCCUGAUCCUGUUUAAAAUGCAGAACUUGUUUAAUGAUUGCCUUGGCUCACAGCCCCAAACGGUAUAAAGCCCAUAGCAACAGCUAAUACAGAAGCCAAUUCUCAAGAGGCUUAAAAAAUGGAUUUUGUUCAACUCUCAUUACACAUUUUGUCACUUGAAAGUGCUGGGUGUACCUGUUGGGAACAUUUCUAAACCUAGUGUGUAGAUGGAUUAUUUUAUGUGAAGCAGCCAAUUUUCUGUCUUACCAGGCCAUUGUAUUUGUGAGUUUUGGAAUUACCAAUAUGGAAAAAAAUUGUUGAUAUAAAUACAAAUAUUCCACGGUUGGACAUGCUGACAACAGAAUUAGUUCUCAAACAGUGCAGGCAUUAACGCUGCGCUCUCACUCCAGUACUGAAGUUGCACAACAUAGUUCUGUAAUCUCUCUCUCUCUGUAUGAAUCACACUUCCCUCUCACUUCCCUGGCUGCCAAAUGAUAAACACGACAAGCGCCUGUGCCGCUGAUGGACUGCACAAAAUUAUCUUGUAGAAUACAACAACAGGUUGACUCCUCAGGGAAGAGAGAGAAUGUGUGAGAGAGAGGGAGAGAGAGGGAGGGGGAGAGAGAGAGAGAGAGAGAGAGAGAGAGAGAGACGCACACACUUUGAGAACUAGUCUGGAUUCUUUCACACUUCUCAGUUUACACUUAUCAUGCAUCAAGUGUCCUGACAGCGUCACAGCCAUUUCGUCCCAGAUGGUCUUAUUAUAAAACUGUUGUCAUUAUUACCUGAGCCCUGAAGGCUUGCUGGAAGAACUUCAGACAGAGGCAUGCUUGGUGCACUGGUGUAAUAGAGAGGGGUGAUAUCAUUGGGGGCUUCUGUUGGAGUGGCAUGACUGACUAACACAACACAUGCCAAAUGGAGAUAAUUCAUGCAAAAGCUUCACACUGGUAGCUUUAUAAAAAAUCUGUGUGCUGGUUUAUAAGAAUGAAAUACUGUUUUCAGAGUGUUUUGUUAUUAUUAUUAUUAUUAUUAUUAUUAUUAUUAUUUAUUGGUGUGAUGCUACUGCUGUGAACUUUUUUGUUUUUAUUUUAAUUCAUACACUUCUAAUUAUUCAUAUUGUCAAUCUCUUCUAGUGCUUAGGGAAAGUCUCAGUGAAGGCCAAGGUAAUAUUUACACAAGCUAAGAACCUGCAAGCAUGGAGCACAUUAGCAUUACAAUGAAACAGUGACAAAAUACUCUAGUAGAUAUGCCACCGUUUGACUUGUACACGCAGCAAGUGCACUGGCUCAAGAAAUGUGACAACACUGCAACUGUUUUUUCCCCACCAAUCACUACUGUGGACCCACGUGGAGUAGGGUUUGAAGAUAUUACCUCUGGACCUGAGACUCAGCAAGAGCUGAAAUCCAGGUGGGAGUCUGCUGCUGCCACAUCCUUAAGCAAGCGUCUGUAAAAAGUGACUCGCCGAGCUCCGACGUCGCACCCGACUCCUCAAGGUGACCCACGGUCUCACUCGCUACUUUUAUCAUGCUCGGCACACUUGUCUAUUCCAACACAGGCUGCCAAAACUCUCCUUUUUCAUCUUUGAAAAAUUCAGGCGAGCAAAGCUGGAAACAGCUUAAAUGAUUGGACAAUGUACCGAUGAUGCAUCCUCUAACGCCUCUCAGAAGGAUUCACACGAACUGAAUUUUGUCAGUGAGACCGUUCAGGAAUGGUCCCUGCUGAUGAUGAAAACAAUUAUACGCUUCCCUGGUGACCUCACAAUGACUGACACUUCCUGUAAAUAUUCACUGCACACUAAUAUGAAGGUACAAAAAUAAAAGAUAAAUGAACAAA